UAAUUAGCGAGGGUGAUAAUAUAAGAGGGGCCAUUACAGAGAGAGGAGACAGCGUGUACAGAAAAAUGAAAAUAGAGAAAAAUUAGUGCAGAAAUUCUUGUUCCUAGUUGCAGAGUUGUUGCAGAGAGGUGGUCUCGGCCAAUGAGCCUAGUUAGAGGGCUGUUUGGUCAUUUUGAUUAAAUGGGCAGUUUCAGUUAGUUGGUUUGGG
rnacentral:misc_RNA from 1 species